UUCCUGGUAGCUCAGAUGGUAAAGAAUCUGCCUGCAAUGCAGGAGACCACAGUUCGAUUUCUGGGUUGGGAAG
rnacentral:tRNA from 1 species